AAGUCGUAACAAGGUUUCCGUAGGUGAACCUGCGGAAGGAUCAUUAACGAGUUAGGGUCUUCUAGGCCCGACCUCCCAACCCUGUGUUUAAUUGACCUCACGUUGCUUCGGCGAGCCCGUCCCUCAAAGGACCGCCGGAGGACCAUAACCCGUCCUCUGGUCCGCGCUCGUCGGUGGCCAACCACAAACUCUUUGAUAAAAAUAUCAUCUAAGUCAAAAUUUUUUAAUUAAAGCAAAACUUUCAACAACGGAUCUCUUGGUUCUG
rnacentral:misc_RNA from 1 species